rnacentral:rRNA from 1 species
CCGGCACGGGUGAGUAACACGUAUCCAACCUGCCGUCUACUCUUGGACAGCCUUCUGAAGGAAGAUUAAUACAAGAUGGCAUCAUGAGUCCGCAUGUUCACAUGAUUAAAGGUAUUCCGGUAGACGAUGGGGAUGCGUUCCAUUAGAUAGUAGGCGGGUAACGGCCCACCUAGUCUUCGAUGGAUAGGGGUUCUGAGAGGAAGGUCCCCCACAUUGGAACUGAGACACGGUCCAA